UGCACACAUGGAGUGCCUGGCACGUAGACCAUGAUUAUAAUGAUUGACUCUCUCUACCCCUUCACAGAGUCUUCAGAGUCCUGGCUGAUGAUCUUUUGAUACCUUGACCUCAUAAUAUGAAAUGGGGAAUACUUUGUGCCCCAUCUUCACAUAUAAUAGAGCAACUUUCAUUUGUCUGAUGGUAUGUUCCACAUGCCCUUUUCUAUUACAUUUUCUUGUUUUCCGCACUGUUCAGGGUUUAAUUGGUGUUGUAGUUGGCUUAACACUUGGUUACACUGUUCAAGGGUAGACCUUUACUUUUUACAUUAUAUGGCAAUGUACUCUAUUACAUUUUUUAAUUGAACACCAAGUACUUCAAAUCCACUUGGCAAAAGUUUCAAGGGCCUUCUGUUUACUUGCAAAUCUGCCUCUGAUUCAGCGUCUUUUCUCUGCCUCUUACAAUGCUCUGUGGAGACUUCAAACAAGGCUGGUUCAGCCAAUGGGAGGAGCAGCAAGCAGCUACUGAUGCAGAAAUAACUCCCGUGCCAGCCUGGCCUGCCUGUGGACAUUUCUGCUUUCCGUUACCCUGGGCUGGCCAUGCAAGGUCAAGACUUGCUGAUGGAGGCAGCAGUGUGCAUCACUGACUUCUUUCUUCAGCUCAAUGAACAGGAAAGCAUGUUGGAGUCAAGGCUGUGGAGAUUUCUGACACAGAUCAUGGUAGAAAAUGGAAGAGCAAACAGGAACAAAGGCAAGUCUGCAGUUAAGUCAGGUGAGUGGAACAUGGAAGAUUGGGAACAGAAGAGCCAGGGUAAGGAAGGGAAAUUGUCCCCUGGGAAAAGAGAAGAGCAGCACAGCUGCCAGCCUUGGGGGCCUCCACUUGGGAAGCUGACAGAAAGCACGCCCAGCAAAGGACACAUGCUCCAGAGAUGAGCUCAUCCUCAUGAGGCCACACAGAAAGGUACUGGAACUGGCCGCAUUCCAGCUGUUGAUGGGAGGCCUGCCAGCUGAGCAUGAGUUCCAUGACAGACCAGUCAGGAAUGCACCAUGACCUGGGUCCUUGCCUCAACGUGUCCUUGGGGAGUGAUCUUUCCUAGGCUAUUCCUUGCUCUGGAACGUACACUUAUAUUCCCAGCUGAAGUCAGUGAUAUGGAGGGCUGGUCACAGUUGUCAGUGGUAGUGGUGCCCACCUUUACUACACUCAUGAAAGCAGAAAAUGAGAGGCCAAAGUCAAAGAUGAUUCUGCAAGGGACACUUCCUCAUGUCUUUGGUCUCAUUUGUUUGGAAAGAGAAAAUGUAGGUGGAAAGCAAGAAUGCUGAUCUCUGCUGGAGGACAGAAUUCCUUUUCCAUCGCCGUUUUCAGCAAAGAGAGGAAAGAAACCAUGGAGAAGGGGCUGUGCCUGCACCUCCAGAGCCUGGCUGGCUUCUACUUUCACACCUGGUUGUGGUGCAGGGCCCAUGACUGUGCACGGGUCCACUCAUUAAUGGACCAAGGGAACUAGCAAGGCUCUGAUCCCAAACGUGAAGAUAAAAAGCCAACACAGGGAACAGGACCCUAAAUAAUAAUUUGUAAUUUUGACUUUUAAAAGUACUCUAAUUUCCUGAAGAAUAGCUUGGGGAGUUUGGGAAAUUUUUACACCCUUCACAAAAACAAAUUCUUGCAAAUGUAAUUAGAGCUGUGGUCCCACUUACUUUCUAAAUGCUGAGGUUCCCUGAGCUUUCUGAUUAGAAUACCCCCUUUUUUUCUCAUAUUGACCAAGUCUGUUGAGUGCCCAGCAGGACACAGAGGUGACUUGGACACCAUCCAAUGUAACAGGAGACAAAAUAGCUUUGAUCACAUGUGGACCCCAAUAGUCAGGAUAGAAGCAAAUCAUUUCAAGACUGUGGAAAAGGAUUUGCUAAAGAAUUAAAUUCUAAUGGUGAUAUUAUAAGAACCUUGCAUGUUAGAGGAAAACGUUUAUUGACUAUAUAUUGUACUGGGAAAUAGAGAAGAUAAAUACUGUGCUUCCAUUGAGACACAUUUAAAUUUCCCAAAAACCCACAAUACAAUCUGCUAAGCA
ensembl:lincRNA